rnacentral:rRNA from 1 species
AUUGAACGCUGGCGGCAGGCCUAACACAUGCAAGUCGAGCGGAUGAAGGGAGCUUGCUCCUGGAUUCAGCGGCGGACGGGUGAGUAAUGCCUAGGAAUCUGCCUGGUAGUGGGGGAUAACGUCCGGAAACGGGCGCUAAUACCGCAUACGUCCUGAGGGAGAAAGUGGGGGAUCUUCGGACCUCACGCUAUCAGAUGAGCCUAGGUCGGAUUAGCUAGUUGGUGGGGUAAAGGCCUACUAAGGCGACGAUCCGUAACUGGUCUGAGAGGAUGAUCAGUCACACUGGAACUGAGACACGGUCCAGACUCCUACGGGAGGCAGCAGUGGGGAAUAUUGGACAAUGGGCGAAAGCCUGAUCCAGCCAUGCCGCGUGUGUGAAGAAGGUCUUCGGAUUGUAAAGCACUUUAAGUUGGGAGGAAGGGCAGUAAGUUAAUACCUUGCUGUUUUGACGUUACCAACGGAAUAAGCACCGGCUAACUUCGUG